rnacentral:sRNA from 1 species
GCAGGUGAAUGCAACGUCAGGCGAUGGGCGUUGUACUCCAUAUUGUCUUACUUCCUGUUUGCGAAUUACUGCAUAGCACAGUUAAUUCCUCUGACACCGGCCCCAGGGCCGGUUUUU